rnacentral:ncRNA from 2 species
GCGCGGGUAAACGGCGGG